rnacentral:ncRNA from 2 species
AAUCAGCACCAGGGGUGCUUGCCCAGUCUCUCCAGCCAUGGAAGACUGGUGCAGGCUGAGAAAGACCCUUUUAAACCUGACCAGGGUAAUGCCUGCGUAGGGAGAGUGCUGCUUCUUUUUU